rnacentral:rRNA from 1 species
AGAGUUUGAUCCUGGCUCAGAUUGAACGCUGGCGGAAUGCUUUACACAUGCAAGUCGAACGGCAGCACGGAGAGCUUGCUCUCUGGUGGCGAGUGGCGAACGGGUGAGUAAUAUAUCGGAACGUGUCCAAUAAUGGGGGAUAACGAGUCGAAAGAUUCGCUAAUACCGCAUACGCCCUACGGGGGAAAGCAGGGGAUCGUAAGACCUUGCGUUAAUGGAGCGGCCGAUAUCUGAUUAGCUUGUUGGUGAGGUAAAGGCUCACCAAGGCGACGAUCAGUAGCUGGUUUGAGAGAACGACCAGCCACACUGGAACUGAGACACGGUCCAGACUCCUACGGGAGGCAGCAGUGGGGAAUUUUGGACAAUGGGGGCAACCCUGAUCCAGCCAUUCCGCGUGAGUGAAGAAGGCCUUCGGGUUGUAAAGCUCUUUCGCAAGGGAAGAAAACUUAUGAUCGAAUAAAUCAUGAGGUUGACGGUACCUUGAUAAGAAGCACCGGCUAACUACGUGCCAGCAGCCGCGGUAAUACGUAGGGUGCGAGCGUUAAUCGGAAUUACUGGGCGUAAAGCGUGCGCAGGCGGUUUUGUAAGUCGGAUGUGAAAUCCCCGGGCUCAACCUGGGAACUGCGUUCGAAACUGCAAGGCUAGAGUGUGUCAGAGGGGGGUAGAAUUCCACGUGUAGCAGUGAAAUGCGUAGAGAUGUGGAGGAAUACCAAUGGCGAAGGCAGCCCCCUGGGAUAACACUGACGCUCAUGCACGAAAGCGUGGGGAGCAAACAGGAUUAGAUACCCUGGUAGUCCACGCCCUAAACGAUGUCAACUAGUUGUUGGUAGAGUAAAAUCUAUGAGUAACGUAGCUAACGCGUGAAGUUGACCGCCUGGGGAGUACGGUCGCAAGAU